AUUGAACGCUGGCGGCAUGCCUUACACAUGCAAGUCGAACGGCGGCGCGGGGCAACCUGGCGGCGAGUGGCGAACGGGUGAGUAAUAUAUCGGAACGUACCCUGGAGUGGGGGAUAACGUAGCGAAAGUUACGCUAAUACCGCAUACGAUCUAAGGAUGAAAGUGGGGGAGUCGCAAGACCUCAUGCUCCUGGAGCGGCC
rnacentral:rRNA from 1 species